rnacentral:ncRNA from 1 species
CACAAGCUUGGUCCUGACUUUAAUGUCAGCUUUGAUAAGACUUAUACAUGCAAGUUUCCGCACCCCCGUGAGAAUGCCCUACUCUACACCGCACGCCCGGGAGAAUAAGGAGCUGGUAUCAGGCACAAUAACACAUUUUAGCCCACGACGCCUUGCUUUGCCACACCCCCACGGGCACUCAGCAGUAAUAAACAUUAAGCUAUGAGUGAAAACUCGACUUAGUUAACAUCAAGAGGGCCGGUUAAACUCGUGCCAGCCACCGCGGUUAUACGAGGGGCCCAAGUUGACACGACACCGGCGUAAAGAGUGGUUAAUAGAAUAACUAAACUAAAGCCAAACACCUUCAAGGCCGUCAUACGUACCCGAGGGCAGGAAGCUCCCCAACGAAAGUGGCUUUAACCAAAUUUGAACUCCACGAAAGCUAGGACACAAACUGGGAUUAGAUACCCCACUAUGCCUAGCCUUAAACAAAAAUACCCCCUGUACACCACAGUUAUUCGCCAGGGAACAACGAGCCCCAGCUUAAAACCCAAAGGACUUGGCGGUGCUUUAGACCCCCCUAGAGGAGCCUGUUCUAGAACCGAUACUCCCCGUUCAACCUCACCCUCCCUUGUAUUACCCCGCCUAUAUACCGCCGUCGUCAGCCUACCCUGUGAAGGACUAAUAGUAAGCAAAAUUGGCAAAGCCCAAAACGUCAGGUCGAGGUGUAGCGCACGGGAGGGGAAGAAAUGGGCUACAUUUACUGAGUCCAGUAAACACGAAUGCUGCACUGAAACAAGCGUCUGAAGGAGGAUUUAGCAGUAAGGAGGGAAAUAGAGCGCCCCCCUGAAAACGGCCCUGAAGCGCGCACACACCGCCCGUCACUCUCCCCAAACAAAACUCGCAACUAAUAAAUAAUAAAAAACGACCAACCAACAAGGGGAGGCAAGUCGUAACAUGGUAAGUGUACCGGAAGGUGUACUUGGAAAAAC